AGUUGGAAAAAAAAAAAUAUUAUGUGUUGACGUGCUCCUGUUUUACAGUGAAAUUAUUAACAAUAAAUUGCAACAAUUAAUUGUUAAUUUAUAAUAAAUCGAUUCAGUAACUCGCUAGCUACCAUUUAAGUGCAUAAUUAUUGCUGGAUGUCACGUGUUGUAGCCAGAAAUUGAUAUUGUUUAAAGCGUCAAAAAGCGGCCGGGUCACAAAAGGACCCCAUGGAAUUUUAUGACACAAAAUGGCCGCAGAUUUCCUUGGAUAUGUCAAAAGUUAUCAAACCUGGACAAAUGCCAUGACAUUUACUACAAAAAAUAGCCUCAGGAGCAAAAAAAAAAAAGGAUAAUCAGGAAUUAUUUGUUAAAAUGAUAUGACAAGUGCAAAAGUCUUGGCUUUUUAUUGGACAAGAAGAGAUAUCCUUGGAUGUUUCAAGGUAAACAAACAACAGUGCAUUUACAAUGCAAAAUGGCCACAGUGCCUGAUGAAUGUUCAAAGCUAAUCAAGACUGAGCAUCAAGUAAUUGUUGGCUACAUAAAAAUGUGCUGAUAAUUCAUUCAACUGGUACAAUUCAAACCAAGAAAAAGGCGUGUUAAAUACCAUAGAAUGAUAUUGUACCAAGUCAACUGUCACAAAUAACUGACAAAUAGAGAUGUCAUUGUUCAAAGAAUAAUUCGACUGUUCAAUUAAAAUACGCAAGUAAUGAAAACAACGUUGAUGCUGGUAGUUGUAAAAGGUAUGUUGGUUUUCGUUUUUCUUCGACAAUUUGAAUAAAUUUAAUAUGAAAUCAGUCCAACGAGUAAAUACUUUUAAAAAAAAUGACUGAGUAUAUUUCAUAUUAAAUACUGAUACAACUGAACGACAAAAAACAACAGACAAAAACGAUUCUUUUAACGAUAAACAAAAUUUAACAAAUUAAAAAUAGAUAAUUAAUUUUAAAUAAAACGUUUAUUGACUUGCGUUGCGUUUAAAAAAUAUAAGAUUCGUUUUUCGAAUGAUGUGACAACCAACAAUGUAAAUUUAUAAUUAUUAAUUAUAAAUUCGCAAAAUAAAAAAAAAAAAAGAAGAACGUAUUAUUAGAAAGAAAAAAUAUUCUCUGAAGACUGCCCAAAAACCACUUGGGUCAGUCAUAAUAUGAAGAACCACAGGGCAUUAAUAAAAACCUGGAUAAGAACCAACCUACUAAGCAAGAUCAUACAACAGACGAUAAUAUAAUUGAUGCUUUGAAAAAUCGACAUGACAAACCACCUGUCUACUUACGCCAUCACAAAAGGAAAUAUGUGCAAAUUAUAUUGACCAGGACUAGCCAGCAUGCUAAUAAUUAAAAUACCAACACCAGACCAUGACAUUGGACAUCCUGUUGAUGAAACUUACAACAUAUCCAUCCAUUGAUCCUGUGAGCUGUGCCUACAUCUUGUGACAUGAUACAAUUACAACAAACCAACUACAGAAUAAAAUAAAAAAUUUUUAAUGAUUUUAAA